rnacentral:rRNA from 1 species
GACGAACGCUGGCGGCGUGCUUAACACAUGCAAGUCGAACGCAGUGGCGAACGGGUGAGUAACGCGUAAACAACCUGCUCUUCAGAGGGGGACAACAGUUGAAAACGACUGCUAAUACCCCAUACGGAAGGUGGGGAUGGCGUCUGAUUGGCUAGUUGGAGGGGUAACGGCCCACCAAGGCGAUGAUCAGUAACCGGACUGGGGAGGUGAAUGGGCACAUUUGGAAUGAGAAACGGCCCCGACUUCCACGGGAGGCAGCAGUGGGGAAACUUCCGACAUGGACGAAAGUCUGAAGGGGCAACGCCGCCUGAGGGAUGACGGCCUUCGGGUUGUAAAGCUCUGUUAAUCGGGACGCGGUACCGGAAUAGAAAGCCACGGCUAACUACGUGCCAGCAGCCGCGGUAAUUC